AUACGUAGGUGGCAAGCGUUGUCCGGAAUUACUGGGUGUAAAGGGCGUGUAGGCGGAGCGGCAAGUCAGAAGUGAAAUCUCUGGGCUCAACCCGGAAACUGCUUUUGAAACUGUCGCCCUUGAGUAUCGGAGAGGCAGGCUGAAUUCCUAGUGUAGCGGUGAAAUGCGGAGAUAUUAGGAGGAACACCAGUGGCGAAGGCGGCCUGCGGGACGAAAACUGACGCUGAGGCGCGAAAGCGGGGGGAGCAAACAGGAUUAGGUACCCUGGUAGUCCACGCCGUAAACGAUGGAUACUAGGUGUGGGGGGACUGACCCCCUCCGUGCCGCAGUAAACACAAUAAGUAUCCCACCUGGGGAGUACGACCGCAAGGUUGAAACUUAAAGGAAUUGACGGGG
rnacentral:rRNA from 1 species